UUGUUUUGAAUUGAGCUAGAAAUCUUAAAAAGAAACUCUUGCCUCACUCGAACUUUGGUCCCACUUAACUCUAUAUGGAAACGUUGAGAUAUUAUUGCCCCAAUUUCAGUUUCAACUACACCACUGUGCGGCAAAAUUACGUAUCCUUCCACGCAGGUCCUAAAUGUUCUUGAGAACGUUGCCGGAAACAUCAUCUUCAAAAAAGUUCAAAAAAUUUCAAAGGGACAGUUAAAAACUUUUUCCCAAAACUAGAUAUAUUUACAGCUUACAUCGGCCUUAAGACUCUUGACGAAAGGCACUCUUACCACAGACAAACAGACGUCACACUCUCAUCAUUGUCCAUCGUCCACAUUUUCAACGG